GACGAACGCUGGCGGCGUGCCUGACACAUGCAAGUCGGACGGUUCUUGUACCUUCAAGCUUGCUUGUUGGUGCAAGGAUAGUGGCGGACGGGUGAGUAACGCGUGAACAUCUACCCAUUGGAGGGGGACAACCCGUCGAAAGGCGGGCUAAUACCGCGUAAGCCGCGAGGUGAGAGGCUGCCUAUUGGUGGCCGCCGAUGGAUGGGUUCGCGUCCUAUCAGCUGGUUGGUGGGGUAACGGCCUACCAAGGCGAAGACGGGUAGCCGGUCUGAGAGGAUGGCCGGCCACACUGGAACUGAGACACGGUCCAGACUCCUACGGGAGGCAGCAGUGGGGAAUUUUGGACAAUGGGCGCAAGCCUGAUCCAGCCAUGCCGCGUGCGGGAAGAAGGCCUUCGGGUUGUAAACCGCUUUCGGACAGAAAGAAAUCGCAUGGACUAAUACUCUGUGUGGAUGACGGUACUGUAAGAAGAAGCACCGGCUAACUACGUG
rnacentral:rRNA from 1 species